rnacentral:rRNA from 1 species
UACGUAGGGGUCUAGCGUUGUCCGGAAUCAUUGGGCGUAAAGAGCUCGUAGGCGGUUCGAUUAGUCGGGUGUGAAAUCUCCACGCUCAACGUGGAGGGGCCACUCGAUACUGUCGUGACUCGAGUCCGGUAGGGGAGUUCGGAAUUCCCGGUGUAGCGGUGAAAUGCGCAGAUAUCGGGAGGAACACCAAUAGCGAAGGCAGCUCGCUGGGACGUUACUGACACUGAGGCGCGAAAGCGUGGGGAGCGAACAGG